UCUAAGAUUAAGCCAUGCAUGUGUCAGUACAAACUAAGCCAAAGUGAAACCGCAAAUGGCUCAUUAAAUCAGCUAUGAUUCAUUGGAUCUGUACACCCAGUUUUCCUUGGAUAACUGUGGUAAUUCUAGAGCUAAUACAUGCACUUAUAGUCCCUAACCUCACGGGAAGGGCGCUUUUAUUAGUAUCAAAACCGGUCUGGCUUCGGUCUGUAAAACCAGUUGUGAUGACUCUGGAUAAUUUAAGCUGAGCGCACGGUCUUUGCACYGGCGCCGCUUCUUUCAAGUGUCUGCCUUAUCAGCUUUCGAUUGUAGGUUAUGCGCCUACAAUGGCUAUAACGGGUAACGGGGAAUCAGGGUUCGAUUCCGGAGAGGGAGCCUGAGAAACGGCUACCACAUCCAAGGAAGGCAGCAGGCACGCAAAUUACCCACUCCCAGCCUGGGGAGGUAGUGACGAAAAAUAACGAUGCGAGACUCAUCCGAGGCCUCGCAAUCGGAAUGAGUACACUUUAAAUCCUUUAACGAGGAUCAAUUGGAGGGCAAGUCUGGUGCCAGCAGCCGCGGUAAUUCCAGCUCCAAUGGCGUAUAUUAAAGUUGUUGCGGUUAAAAAGCUCGUAGUUGGAUUUCAGGAUUGGACUGAAGGUUCACCGUGAGGUGUUUAAAACCUAUCAGUAUCCGAAACCAGCUUAUCACAACAACUUUGUGUAUGCCCACACUAGCUCACACGGGGUGUUCUUAAUUGAGUGUCCCGCGUGGCUGGUAUGUUUACUUUGAAAAAAUUAGAGUGCUCAAAGCAGGCCAACUGAAUGGCCUGAAUGUCUAUGCAUGGAAUAAUGUAAAAGGACCUCGGUUCUAUUUUAUCCGGGCUUUUUGUGGAACCCGAGGUAAUGACUAAUGGAGAUGAAUGGGGGCAUUGGUACUUCGACGCUAGAGGUGAAAUUCUUGGACCGUCGCAAGACUAACAACAGCGAAANNNNNNNNNNNNNNNNNNNNNNNNUGAAACUUAAAGGAAUUGACGGAAGGGCACCACCAGGAGUGGAGCCUGCGGCUUAAUUUGACUCAACACGGGAAACCUCACCAGGCCCAGACACUGGAAGGAUUGACAGAAUGAGAGCUCUUUCUCGAUUCAGUGGGUGGUGGUGCAUGGCCGUUCUUAGUUGGUGGAGCGAUUUGUCUGGUUAAUUCCGAUAACGAACGAGACUCUGGCCUAUUAACUAGUCGACGGAUUUCCAUGAAUUGGUGUCCAGUUCGCAACUUCUUCUUAGAGGGAUAAGCGGUAGUCCUAGCCGCACGAGAUUGAGCAAUAACAGGUCUGUGAUGCCCUUAGAUGUUCUGGGCCGCACGCGCGCUACACUGAAGGGAUCAGCGUGUUUUUCCCUCCGAGAGGAGUGGGUAACCCGAUCAAAACCCUUCUUGAUAGGGAUUGGGGCUUGCAAUUGUUUCCCAUGAACGAGGAAUUCCCAGUAAGCGCAAAUCAUUAGUUUGCGUUGAUUACGUCCCUGCCCUUUGUACACACCGCCCGUCGCUACUACCGAUUGAAUGAUUUAGUGAGGCCUUCGGACUGGCACUCUUGGAUGUCUGGCUACAGUCUCUUUAUCGAGUUCUGUUAGUUAGUGCCUCGAGUUGACGGAAAGAUGUCCAAACUUGAUCAUUUAGAGGAAGUAAAAGUCGUAACAAGGUUUCC
rnacentral:rRNA from 1 species